CCGCCACCCACGUGGCCCGAGUCCCAUCUCCACCCGGGAUGUGGAGCACCUGUGCCUCAGAAACCCUUGUCACCCCCCAAAAGCCAAGGACCACCGAGACCACCUCAACGGCAAAGCCGAGGCCCAGGGGGUGAGCGGGC